rnacentral:piRNA from 1 species
UGCAACACCUGGCGGAUGGCGAACAU